rfam:Schistosoma haematobium scaffold512_7, whole genome shotgun sequence.
GCACUGCUGACGAGUCUCACAAUAAGAAGAAACGGACGUCCAGUGC